ACAGACAGCUGGUAUCAGCUGAGGAUGGAAGUACUGCUACUCUAAUAUACACUUUAGAGCCAAGGGGGACAGAAAACACUGGAAGAUUUCUGAGCUGGACUAUGAUUAUCACAAAACUUGAAUUGCUGUGGUCAUAUCUGAGUCCUAUUUGAACUUGGGCAGCCUCUAGUGCUGUUGCAUCAUCUUCACUGUAUACAAUGUCCUCAGUUUCAUUUAGGUGUUUCACUGAAGCUUCGUAUACACCACUAUCUCCAGCUACAGACUCA
rnacentral:lncRNA from 1 species